GGAAUCUUCCGCAAUGGGCGAAAGCCUGACGGAGCAACGCCGCGUGAUCGAAUGAAGGCCUUCGGGUUGUAAAGAUCUGUUGACAGGGACGAAUAAGCAAUGCGAAUAGUUUUGUGUAUGACGGUACCUGUUUAGAAAGCUCCGGCUAACUACGUGCCAGCAGCCGCGGUAAUACGUAGGUGGCAAGCGUUAUCCGGAUUUACUGGGUGUAAAGGGCGUGUAGGCGGGACUGCAAGUCAGAUGUGAAAACCAUGGGCUCAACCCAUGGCCUGCAUUUGAAACUGUAGUUCUUGAGUGUUGGAGAGGCAGGCGGAAUUCCGUGUGUAGCGGUGAAAUGCGUAGAUAUACGGAGGAACACCAGUGGCGAAGGCGGCCUGCUGGACAAUAACUGACGCUGAGGCGCGAAAGCGUGGGGAGCAAACAGG
rnacentral:rRNA from 1 species